CACGUAGGGGGCAAGCGUUGUCCGGAUUUAUUGGGCGUAAAGAGCUCGUAGGCGGUUUCGUAGGUCGGAUGUGAAAACUCCAGGCUCAACUUGGAGACGCCAUUCGAUACUGCGAUGACUUGAGUCCGGUAGGGGAGUGUGGAAUUCCUGGUGUAGCGGUGAAAUGCGCAGAUAUCAGGAGGAACACCGGCGGCGAAGGCGGCACUCUGGGCCGGUACUGACGCUGAGGAGCGAAAGCGUGGGUAGCAAACAG
rnacentral:rRNA from 1 species